AUAUUAGCCCAGACAGGGUCAAUGGGCGAUCAUUAAGGCCCAUAGCCUAGGUUGGUGACCUCCAUUGCACUUUGGAGGGGUGCCCGCCUACAGGUCGGUCCAAGUGGCCGAGCCUACGUCAUAAUAUUUGGAGGGGGCCAGCGUUCGCGCGGCUCCUAC